GACGAACGCUGGCGGCGUGCUUAACACAUGCAAGUCGAACGGAAAGGCCCUGCUUUUGUGGGGUGCUCGAGUGGCGAACGGGUGAGUAACACGUGAGUAACCUGCCCUUGACUUUGGGAUAACUUCAGGAAACUGGGGCUAAUACCGGAUAGGAGCUCCUGCUGCAUGGUGGGAGUUGGAAAGUUUCGGCGGUUGGGGAUGGACUCGCGGCUUAUCAGCUUGUUGGUGGGGUAGUGGCUUACCAAGGCUUUGACGGGUAGCCGGCCUGAGAGGGUGACCGGCCACAUUGGGACUGAGAUACGGCCCAGACUCUUACGGGAGGCAGCAGUGGGGAAUAUUGCACAAUGGGCGGAAGCCUGAUGCAGCAACGCCGCGUGCGGGAUGACGGCCUUCGGGUUGUAAACCGCUUUCGCCUGUGACGAAGCGUGAGUGACGGUAAUGGGUAAAGAAGCACCGGCUAACUACGUG
rnacentral:rRNA from 1 species